UUUCAUAACGCCUCGGAUCCGCUUUUGUGCCUCUGAGGCGACUAAACAGAUGAAUAACGAGCAAAGUCUCCCGAAAUUUGAUAGUUGGUUUCUGGCAAGAGGAAAGAAAAGGCUGCAGCACUAAAGGAAGAAUCAGAGUAUUUAAAGGACGCUCAAAAUGUAGUGUUGUGGCGGGUCGGGCUGCAGCACUGGGUCUGGAACUCAGGGCUUUGCACACUAGGUAAGCAUUUUACCACUGUUUUAUAUCCCUAGCCUCAGAGUUCUUUUUAAAUAUUUAAAAGUUUCAUCUGUCUUUGGUACUGUGAUGACCUAGAGAUCUUCAUUCUUUUUAUAUCAAGUUGAAAUGUCAGGGAUUAUAAUUUUCAUGUGCAUCAGAAGUGCUGGAAAGUAACAGUCCAGCAGCAGCCCCAUAUGAGGAAGUUUUCCGAACAUGCACAAAAGAGAAUUCUCUAGUUUGACCAGCAAUAUACUUGUGUCCCCUUUCGGGUCCCCGUGCUCCAUUUAGCUGAGUGACGUGUGGGCCUGCUGCUGGACUUCUUCCAUACCUUGCUUGUAUGAGGAAAUUAAUGCAGUAACUUUUCAAAAGCUAAGCUAUCUGCUUCUUUUGGAAAGAAGACAACCAUCUGUUAGGUUGCCUGGACGAGUAUGUAGGAACCCAACCCUCCAGAGGCCAGGGGCUUUUGCCCCACGAGUCUUCCCUUCUAUUUCCCCAAAGUCACCGCAAUAGAUGAAUAUUUGAGAAGUCAGUGAAGUUGUUUGCAAACACAUGCGGGUCAGUGUGGCCAGCGAACGGGAGAAAGACAGUUCCUAGGGUGGAAUCAGCAUCUGUACAGCCCAGUGGCCCCGGGGUCAGCCCCAACAUUAAGUAAACAGUGCCGAAGCCAAGGGCUCUUUUGUAGCAGCUGUAGCUGUCCAGCCGUCAGUUCAUUGUCCAACCAGGGCUGGGGACAUGGGCGCUGCACCGGCGCCAACUCUGUGCUCAACAACUUACGGGCACGGGCUGCAUGCAUGGCCGCCCCCGGGCCGCCUAAGCUGGCUCCCUCCUCUCCAGCAGCCGCAGUCCUUCCAGAGGCCUUUUCUCCUUAUUAGGAAACAGUGAGGAUAAAAAGAGUCCAGAACUUGGGAGAGCAGGAGAUGGUGUGUGUGGGGUGACACAACAAAGAAAAGCACAAGACCCCCCCCCCCCGAGAAUGGGGGUGGGAAGAGCUGUGUCCCAAAACAACACAAGAAGAAAAUGGAAAUGGAAAUCAAACUGAAAGCACAAAAUGAUCUUGUUGAAAAGGGAUUUUUUGUUCUUCUUUUUUUUUUUUUUCCUUUUUUGUUGCUAGUAGUGGUCAGUCUUGGAAAAGUAGUGACUGUCUCAUGAUAAAGAAGGGACAACAGGGGAGAGUAUAGUAGCUUUCCUCAGAUGCAGGGCUGAAGGGGUGAUAUUAGGUCUUAAUGGCUUUUUAGGGUUCCUCUCAAAUGCCUCAAGGAUUCAUCCCUUGUGCCCAGCAUUUCCCCUAAGGAUGAAAGUUUAAAUUGAGACACUGUCUCCCCAGCCACCUUCCCCAGGUCACACAACAAAGGCUGGGAACCCUCUGGAAGUGCAGAGGAGGGGCAAAGGGGAAGGCAGAACCCUCGAGGCUGGUUUGGUCUGACUCAGAUCUCCUCAGAAGACCUAGCAACUUCAGGCUGUACCCCUGAACCCUGGCUUGCUGGAGUGAAGCCACUUUUCAGCCUGAAGCCUGGUUGCCGCAGGAGGGGAGGGGAGCAGAAUGAGGUAAAAAGCUCAGGGUAGGUAGCAAGUGAUGGAGAUCCUUGGUGGCCCCUGAGAUAAGGCUUGAUCUUUUCCAGAUCCAUCCCACCCAACACACUUUCAGACUCUGUGGCUCCCACUUCAGCAGGGUUUGUGGGACGUGUUUGUGUGUGUGGUGAAGCCUCUGGUCCGGGGCCUGCCAUUUUGGGCCUUUAGGCCCUUCUGUGCUCACAGUUAGUAGAGCUGUUCAGAUCCUCAGAGAUAAGCCUGGGCUGCUCUGAGCAGAGCUGUGCCCAAGCAUGGAGAUGUAGCUAAUGGUACCUGCCAAACACC
rnacentral:lncRNA from 1 species